rnacentral:tRNA from 1 species
AGUAUGUAGCUCAAUGGUAGAGUGCUUGCCUUGCAUGCAUGAGGCACUGGGAUCAAUUCUCAGCACUA